AUUUAUUUUGUUUCAUUCAACAAAUAGCAGUUUGUUCAAUCAGUUUAAAUUUAAAAUUCAGACUUAAAGCACAUUUAAGUAAAACUGAGGAUGAAACUAUAUCUGGUUUUGGUAUUAUUGUUGGCUCUGUUCUUUAGCUCAAGCAAAGCUAAACAAUAUCUUGUGGAAACUGUAGAUGAAAACCCAGAAGAAGAUGUAAAACAACCUGAGAAUCUAUUUCCGUCUGGAACUGCUAAGUCUGGUGACUACUAUGGAGAAUUCACACGGUUUUUUGGGAAAUUUAAAUAAAUUAUAUUGAAAAAGUUCAAAAUUA
rnacentral:lncRNA from 1 species